rnacentral:rRNA from 1 species
GAUGAACGCUGGCGGCGUGCCUAAUACAUGCAAGUCGAGCGAAUGGAUUAAGAGCUUGCUCUUAUGAAGUUAGCGGCGGACGGGUGAGUAACACGUGGGUAACCUGCCCAUAAGACUGGGAUAACUCCGGGAAACCGGGGCUAAUACCGGAUAACAUUUUGAACCGCAUGGUUCGAAAUUGAAAGGCGGCUUCGGCUGUCACUUAUGGAUGGACCCGCGUCGCAUUAGCUAGUUGGUGAGGUAACGGCUCACCAAGGCAACGAGGCGUAGCCGACCUGAGAGGGUGAUCGGCCACACUGGGACUGAGACACGGCCCAGACUCCUACGGGAGGCAGCAGUAGGGAAUCUUGCGCAAUGGACGAAAGUCUGACGGAGCAACGCCGCGUGAGUGAUGAAGGCUUUCGGGUCGUAAAACUCUGUUGUUAGGGAAGAACAAGUGCUAGUUGAAUAAGCUGGCACCUUGACGGUACCCAACCAGAAAGCCACGGCUAACUACGUGCCAGCCGCCGCCGUAA